rnacentral:tRNA from 1 species
GGAAGGGUGGCCGAGCGGUUUAAGGCGGCGGUCUUGAAAACCGCUGUGGGCGACGCCCACCGGGGGUUCGAAUCCCUCCCCUUCCG